ensembl:lncRNA
GGCAUCUGGUAGGCCAUCUAAAUGCUUUAGAGGCAGGCGUAUAUAUAGACACCUGGGGGUCCUUACACGGUAUGUUGUCACCCUGCUGCCGGCACUGGUGUGAGGAAGCCAUGCUGUGGGUGCGGUCUUGCUGUGAGUAGCACCCGCUGGGUAUUGUGGCUGCCGUGGGGUACCUGCUACAAACGCAGUGUUCCUCACUGACUAACGUGAGCGGCAGACGUGUUUAACGGCAAUGGGAUUUGUUAGUUGGUGUUCUCUACACGUAUGAUUGUGGUGGUGAUUUAUUGCUUAACUAGAUUUUGGUUUGUUUUUUCCUCUAGCCUGUUGAUUGUAACGAGUAUUGUAAGUGAGUGCAGUUAUUGUACAUCACAGGCUAGAGUGGUUUCUUUAUUCCUUUG